GACGAACGCUGGCGGCGUGCUUAACACAUGCAAGUCGAACGGAAAGGCCCUGCUUUCGUGGGGUGCUCGAGUGGCGAACGGGUGAGUAACACGUGAGUAACCUGCCCUUGACUUUGGGAUAACUUCAGGAAACUGGGGCUAAUACCGGAUAGGAGCUCCUGCUGCAUGGUGGGGGUUGGAAAGUUUCGGCGGUUGGGGAUGGACUCGCGGCUUAUCAGCUUGUUGGUGGGGUAGUGGCUUACCAAGGCUUUGACGGGUAGCCGGCCUGGGAGGGUGACCGGCCACAUUGGGCCUAAGAUACGGCCCAGUCUCCUACGGGAGGCAGCAGUGGGGAAUAUUGCACAAUGGGCGGAAGCCUGAUGCAGCAACGCCGCGUGCGGGAUGACGGCCUUCGGGUUGUGAACCGCUUUCGCCUGUGACGAAGCGUGAGUGACGGUAAUGGGUAAAGAAGCACCGGCUAACUACGUG
rnacentral:rRNA from 1 species